ACGUCACAUCCAACCGAAACCGUUUCGGAACCGUUUGCCCGGUACUUGGGAUUGUAAAUUAUCAGUCAUGCAGGUUUUAUUUCCGGACCAAAAUGUACUCAAUUAACAGGGAUGAAAAUCCUAAGCAUAUCGCGCGAUUGAUUCGCGAGCAUGGGUUCAAUCCGAUCGCUGAUCGGAUGAAACAUCUUCGACGGCGAUGAGACUCCGAUAAAUAUUAAACCAGCUCCCUCCGGAACUCCGAGGUGGUAGCGCAUUUGGGACGGCCACCGGAAAUGCCGAAUCCCGUCGAUAGAUCGGCAGAGGAAUAUGAAAGACUUUCAAUUUCUUCCUUGCCGCGUCCUUUGUCUGUUCAUCCGAUGAAGCGGGAUGGCUUAUUCAAUUCUAUUGAAGAAGUUGAAGAGCUAUGUCACCGGAACAAAAAAAAUCCUUGCGUUCCCUCGGGCAACGGGGAAUUGCCAACUUGACAUUUGCUAAUGCCCCACCAAUCAGCAAGUAACUGCCUCGCAGCGGACAAUUUCUAAUCUCCUCAAUUCGACCUUAAUUACUUCGCCCGGUCGUCGCACACCUAUACGUUUCAUUCUCCUCUUAUAUAUAUUAUUGGCACACUUACACUUAUCUCGUCAUUUUAUUAUCAUACUCGUCGAAUCAUUAUCCACACAUUAUUGAACAAGUCAAGAUUUUCAAGUCAAUAAACCCUAACGCGGAACCAUCUCCCAGAGGGCUUUCUCAUAUCAUCACCUUCCAAUGUUUCAUGCCGAUCAUUACUACCGAUCAUUUUCACGCCUCGAUUCGUCCCAGCUUCUAAACCCUUUUCACUUUUCAUCUGAACAUUGAAU